UACGUAGGGUGCAAGCGUUGUCCGGAAUUAUUGGACGUAAAGAGCUCGUAGGCGGUCUGUCGCGUCGGCUGUGAAAACCUGGGGCUCAACCCCGGGCCUGCAGCCGAUACGGGCAAACUAGAAUUCGGUAGGGGAGACUGGAAUUCCUGGUGUAGCGGUGAAAUGCGCAGAUAUCAGGAGGAACACCGGUGGCGAAGGCGGGUCUCUGGGCCGAUAUUGACGCUGAGGAGCGAAAGCGUGGGGAGCGAACAGG
rnacentral:rRNA from 1 species